GACUUUAUUUUGACCUUCRGCGGCGCAUUUUUCAAAUCGAGGAAGAGAGAAUAUUAACGUUGGUUGYGAAAUACAGAAGAAUAAGAAUAAGAAGAACAUACAGAAGAAGAGAGAAUAUUUCCACAGCUCCACAAGCUCUUUUCGCGAUUGGCGAAAGCAUCAUAUUUGAAGGUUAAUUCAACAUGAAAAGAAAGGGUGAGAUAUCAGACUUCUGUUCCAAAAGGACCCAAUGACAUUUCAAGAUCCAGAGAACAGGGUCCUGUACAGCYGURUUUGAAAACAUUUCCCAGAACUCAGCAUGGUACUAGGAAUGGGGCUUUCAACAACUCCUGGUAUAAGGACAAUUYAUGGCUUGAAUAUUCUAAGCUUUAUAACUUUGUAUCUGGCUCGUACRUUCAUCUCAAGUGGCUUGCAGUUCAGAAAGAGCUGUAUCCACAGCAGCAGUCCAGGGAACUACAGAGACUUACGGAUGUAAGGUGGGCAUGCAGAUACAGUUGAAGUCGGAAGUUUACAUACACUUAGGUUGGAGUCAUUAAAACCCGUUUUUCAAC